rnacentral:rRNA from 1 species
GAUGAACGCUGGCGGCGUGCCUAAUACAUGCAAGUCGGGCGAACAGAUGAGGAGCUUGCUCCUCUGACGUUAGCGGCGGACGGGUGAGUAACACGUGGAUAACCUACCUAUAAGACUGGGAUAACUUCGGGAAACCGGAGCUAAUACCGGAUAAUAUAUUGAACCGCAUGGUUCAAUAGUGAAAGACGGUUUUGCUGUCACUUAUAGAUGGAUCCGCGCCGCAUUAGCUAGUUGGUAAGGUAACGGCUUACCAAGGCAACGAUGCGUAGCCGACCUGAGAGGGUGAUCGGCCACACUGGAACUGAGACACGGUCCAGACUCCUACGGGAGGCAGCAGUAGGGAAUCUUCCGCAAUGGGCGAAAGCCUGACGGAGCAACGCCGCGUGAGUGAUGAAGGUCUUCGGAUCGUAAAACUCUGUUAUUAGGGAAGAACAAAUGUGUAAGUAACUAUGCACGUCUUGACGGUACCUAAUCAGAAAGCCACGGCUAACUACGG